CCGCGGUAACACCGGCGGCCCGAGUGGUGAUCGUGAUUAUUGGGUCUAAAGGGUCCGUAGCCGGUUUGGUCAGUCCUCCGGGAAAUCUGAUAGCUCAACUAUUAGGCUUUCGGGGGAUACUGCCAGACUUGGAGCCGGGAGAGGUAAGAGGUACUACAGGGGUAGGAGUGAAAUCUUGUAAUCCCUGUGGGACCACCUGUGGCGAAGGCGUCUUACCAGAACGGGUUCGACAGUGAGGGACGAAAGCUGGGGGCACGAACCGGGUUAGAUACCCGGGUAGUCCCAGCCGUAAACGAUGCUCGCCAGGUGUCAGGCAUGGCGCGACCGUGUCUGGUGCCGCAGGGAAGCCGUGAAGCGAGCCACCUGGGAAGUACGGCCGCAAGGCUGAAACUUAAAGGAAUUGGCGGGGGAGCACAACAACGGGUGGAGCCCUGCGGUUUAAUUGGACUCAACGCCGGACAACUCACCGGGGGCGACAGCAAUAUGUAGGCCAAGCUGAAGACUUUGCCUGAAUCGCUGAGGAGUGGUGCAUGG
rnacentral:rRNA from 1 species